ACAAGCGGUGGAGCAUGUGGUUAAUUCGAAGCAACGCGAAGAACCUUACCAGGUCUUGACAUCCCGAUGCUAUUCUAGAGAUAGAAAGUUACUUCGGUACAUCGGUGACAGGUGGUGCAUGGUUGUCGUCAGCUCGUGUCGUGAGAUGUUGGGUUAAGUCCCGCAACGAGCGCAACCCCUAUUGUUAGUUGCCAUCAUUCAGUUGGGCACUCUAGCGAGACUGCCGGUAAUAAACCGGAGGAAGGUGGGAUGACGUCAAAUCAUCAUGCCCCUUAUGACCUGGGCUACACACGUGCUACAAUGGUUGGUACAACGAGUUGCGAGUCGGUGACGGCGAGCUAAUCUCUUAAAGCCAAUCUCAGUUCGGAUUGUAGGCUGCAACUCGCCUACAUGAAGUCAGAAUCGCUAGUAAUCGCGGAUCAGCACGCCGCGGUGAAUACGUUCCCGGGCCUU
rnacentral:rRNA from 1 species